rnacentral:rRNA from 1 species
UAAGUCGGUAGUGAAAUCGUGUGGCUCAACCAUAUACACAUUACUGAAACUGCAAAGCUAGAGGAUGAGAGAGGUUAUUGGAAUUCCCCGUGUAGGAGUGAAAUCCGUAGAUAUAGGGAGGAACACCGAUGGCGUAGGCAGAUAACUGGCUCAUUCCUGACACUCAGGCACGAAAGCGUGGGAGCAAACGGGAUUAGAUACCCCGGUAGUCCACGCCGUAAACUAUGGAUGCUA